rnacentral:lncRNA from 1 species
AUGGGAAGUUCAGGGUCCGUGCAGGGGGCUGACUGCAGGGUCAGAUUCCCCCACACCAGCCCAGUGUCGGCCCUUCCUGCAGCUGUUGUGAGGAGGGCGUCUCCGCAGCCAUGCAACUCUCUCUCUCUCUCUCUCUCUCUCUCUGUCUUUGUCACUCUGUCUCUCUCUCCCUGUCACUCUCUGUCUCUGUCUCUCUCUAUCUCUCAGUCUCUCUCUCUGUCUCUCUCUGUCACUCUGUCUCUCUCUAUCUCUGUCUCUAUCUCUCAGUCUGUCUCUGUCACUCUCUGUCUCUCUCUCUCUCCCUUUCUCUGUCUCUCUCUGUCACUCUCUCUGUCUCUCUCUGUCACUCUCUGUCUCUCUCUGUGUGUCUCUCUGUCACUCUCUCUGUCUCUGUCACUCUCUGUCUCUCUCUCUCCCUGUCACUCUCUGUCUCUCUCUCUAUUUGUCACUGUCUCUGUCUCUCUCUGUCUCUGUCUGUCACUCUCUGUGUCUCUCUGUCAUCUCUGUCAUUCUCUGUCUCUGUCACUCUCUCUCUCUCUGUCUCUGUCACUCUCUGUCUCUGUCACUCUGUCUCUCUCUCUGUGUCUCUCUGUCACUCUGUGUCUCCCUCUGUCACUCUCUGUCUCUGUCUCUCUCUAUCUCUCAGUCUCUCUGUCUCUGUCUCUAUCUCUCAGUCUGUCUCUGUCACUCUCUGUCUCUCUCUCCCUCUCUCUGUCACUCUCUGUCUCUCUCUCUCUCCCUUUCUCUGUCUCUCUCUGUCACUCUCUCUGUCUCUCUCUGUCACUCUCUGUCUCUCUCUGUGUGUCUCUCUGUCACUCUCUCUGUCUCUGUCACUCUCUGUCUCUCUCUCUGUCUCUCUUUCUGUCUCUCUCUCUCUCUCCCCUUCUCACAGGUGCGGGCACUGCUCGCUGCUCCUGGCACCCAUGUGGGUUAUUUGAUUCUCCUGCUCCAAGUGGACAAAACACGGCACAGCCCCCCGGGCCUGCGGAGGUGCCCAGGGCCUCUCCUGCAGCUCCCAGCGCAGCCCUGCCCUGCUUCUUCCUCAGGCCUUGCUCCCUCGCGCAGGCUAGGCCAAGGUGCAUCUGCCUUGCAUGGUUGCUCAUCCGAACCCGACGGAAACUUUCCUACAGUUCUAACAAGCCCAUGUGUGGGAGGGGCGGGCAGUGCCUCUCCUGA